UGGGGGAAAAUUAGUAUAUAAAAUUAUAAUAAAAAUAAUUUUAAUAAAAUAUGAUGGGGUUAAAGUAUUUUAUAAAGAAAAAAUUGUUUAAUUUAUAAAGAAUUAGUAUUGUGAAAGAAAUUUGAAAUAUUUGAAAAUUAAUUAAUUUAAUAGUAAAUUUUAAUUAUUGUAUCUUGUGUAUCAGAGUUUAUUAAUAAAGAUUUUUAUAAAAAAAAAAUUCUCGAAUUUGAAAGAGUUAAUUAGUUAAAAAAAUUAUUGUUGCAAAAAUAUUUUUCAUAAUUAAUUAGAAAUGAAAUGUUAAUCGUUUUUAAAUAUAUCUAGUUUUUUUAGAAAAAAAUUUAAUUUUAAAUUAUUUUAAUUAAAAAUUUAAAUAAUAAAAUUUUUAAAAAAUUAAAUUUAAUAUUUUAAGGGAUAAGCUUUAAUUUAAAUUUUUAUAAUAGUUUUUUUUUUAUUAAUUGAAAAUUUUAAAAUUUAUAUUGUUUAAAAAUUAUAAUUUUUUAUAAAUAAUUUCAAAAUAAAAUAAAAUUUAAAAAAUUAAAUUUAAAUUUUUAUAAAAUAAGUAAAAUUUAAUAUUAUAAUUUUAGUUAUAAUGAUAAAAUUAGUAUAUGAAUAUAUAAUAUAAAAAUUAUUAAAUAUGAAUUAGUGGAAAAUUAAUUAUAAGGAAUUCGGCAAAUUUUUAUAUUCACUUGUUUAUCAAAAACAUGUCUUUUUGAAAUAAUUUAAAGUCUAAUCUGCCCACUGAUAAAAAUUAAAGGGCUGCAGUAUUUUGACUGUACAAAGGUAGCAUAAUCAUUAGUCUCUUAAUUGGUGACUUGUAUGAAAGAUUGGAUGAGAUAUAAACUGUCUUAUUAUUAUUAAUAAAAUUUAAUUUUUUAGUUAAAAAGCUAAAAUAUUUUUAAAAGACGAGAAGACCCUAUAGAGUUUUAUAUUAAAGUUAAUUAUAAAUUUUUAUAUUAAUGUUAAGUUUGAAUUAAUUUUAAUAUUUUGUUGGGGUGAUAAAAAAAUAAAAUUAACUUUUUUUUUAUAUUAUAUAUAUAUAUAUAUAUAUAUAUAUAUAACAUUAAUUAAUGAAUAAAUGAUCCAUAAAUUAUGAUUAAAAGAUUAAAUUACCUUAGGGAUAACAGCGUAAUUUUUUUUUUUAGUUCAAAUAAAAAAGAAAGUUUGCGACCUCGAUGUUGGAUUAAGAUAAAAUUUAAAUGCAAAAGUUUAAAAUUUUGAUCUGUUCGAUCAUUAAAAUCUUACAUGAUCUGAGUUCAAACCGGUGUAAGCCAGGUUGGUUUCUAUCUUUAUAUACAUUAAAUAUUUUAGUACGAAAGGAUCAAAUAUUUAAAAUAAUUUUAUUUUAUAAGAAUAUUACUAAAUGUGUUUGUUUAAAUUAA
rnacentral:rRNA from 1 species